rnacentral:rRNA from 1 species
UACGUAGGGGGCAAGCGUUGUCCGGAAUCAUUGGGCGUAAAGCGCGUGUAGGCGGCUCGGUAAGUCCGCUCUGAAAGUCCAGGGCUCAACCCUGGGAUGCGGGCGGAUACUGCCGGGCUCGAGUCCGGAAGAGGCGAGUGGAAUUCCCGGUGUAGCGGUGAAAUGCGCAGAUAUCGGGAGGAACACCAAUGGCGAAGGCAGCUCGCUGGGACGUGACUGACGCUGAGACGCGAAAGCGUGGGGAGCAAACAGG